UACGUAGGGAGCAAGCGUUGUCCGGAAUCAUUGGGCGUAAAGCGCGCGUAGGUGGCUUCGUAAGUCCGUUGUGAAAGUCAAAGGCUCAACCUUUGAAAGCCGAUGGAUACUGCGGAGCUAGAGUACGGAAGAGGCGAGUGGAAUUCCUGGUGUAGCGGUGGAAUGCGCAGAUAUCAGGAGGAACACCAAUAGCGAAGGCAGCUCGCUGGGACGUACUGACACUGAGGCGCGAAAGCGUGGGGAGCGAACAGG
rnacentral:rRNA from 1 species